CCUUAUGACCGAUUUUAAAAGUACCACUUUUAAAAUCGGUUAUUGAAGAGCCGAUUUUAAAAGUAGCACUUUUAAAAUCAGCUAUUAAA
rnacentral:miRNA from 1 species